GGGCCUGUAGCUCAGAUGGUUAGAGCAGGGGACUCAUAAUCCCUUGGUCCCUGGUUCGAAUCCAGGCGGGCCCACCA
rnacentral:tRNA from 1 species